UCCAAUUCUACAACUAACAUAAGAACCAUAAUAUAUCCUACACAUCUACAGUGUACUCAGCUUUCAUCGAUCGAUUGUUUGAAAUCCUUCCAAGAUAUCGAACCAUGAUUACAUAGGAACAUACCCAUGCAGUAGAUAUUCUACUAUUUAACAUCAGAUAUUAAUCUAAAUUGGUGUAUCCUCCUACUCCUAGCUUUGAUCAUUCUUCAAAAUUAAGAACAAAUCUUUAGUUCUUCUCAAGAACUUAAGGAUAUUUUUACAGUAAUCCAGUGCUCCUAGCCUGGAUACCAUUGAUAUCUACUCGUAACAUUCACAGCAUUAACUAUAUCAGUUCAAGUAUAUUACAUGGCACACAUCUAUACCCAAGAGGAUAGCAGAUCCUUCUCUGAGAUUUUUAUGCUGAAUCCUUUCAGUAUCUAUUCUCUAUACUUUAUCUAUGAAAACAUAAGCAUCCAAUUGCAUCUAUCUCUAUAGAUCUUUAUAUUCUCAGAAUAUAGGAUGCUUGCUUUAUGUCUUUCAUGGAGAAUUCUAUAUACAACCAUAUUUUAACCAAUGUCAGUAUUGGACACUCCCACUGACCCUUUUAAAAAUACAUAAUUCCUCAUUUCUGAUCAAAUAAUUUGAUCGUAUCAUCGAAAUGAAUGUUCCAACUCUAAGAUUAUCACAGACUUUGUGAUCUCCUAUCACGAGAAGUAAAAUCCAUAAGCUACUCCAUAUAAAAAUCUUCAAAAGAUAUCCUGUCAGAAAAGUUAUUUCACAUCCCUUUCUUGGAGUCGAUGUCUAACAUCGCCUCGUUGUAGGUUUUGGGAUCAUUUCUAUAUUUUCUAUCUCCUAUGAGAAAUAUUUUUUUUCUCUACAUCUUCUGUUAAGCAUAUCCAAGUACCUUUCGAGAGGAUGGAAGAUCCUAUUAUAUCUAUGAGGUGGAGGAGGAAUAUACGUAUACUGGCUCAUCAUAAAUAGAUUCUUUAGGUCAUAUGGCUCAUCACUCUUCAGAGAUACUCUCUUUGAGCUUUACUUUUCUUUCACUACUUUAGCUUGGUUAAAUAAUUUUUCAAAAAGAUAGCAUAAUGGGUCACAAUCACAUUGUGAUCCUUUCAGAAGAAAAAUAGUAUCUCAAACUCUUUUAGGAUAAGCUUUAUAGACCUAUCCUCUAAUAUAUCCAUCUGCUGUCCUUGACACAGGUUGGAUCUUUGGAUCUUGAAAUAAUUAAGAUUUAGUACUCACCGUGUCAUAUCUCAUACGGUGUGAUAGAAACAGAUUUAGAGAAAAUUUAAUUCUAUAGAAAUAAAGUAUAUCCCUAAAGAAAUAAAAAUAAAUCAGUGAAGUCCAUCAUGGAUCAGAUCAUAUCUUAUACAGUCCCAUGACUCUUCUUAAUUAUCUCGUUGAGUUGAGAUGUACUAAGAAGGGUCCAAUAUAAAACUAUGUCAUUUUAUGAGAUAAUUGAGAAAUUUUUUUUUGAUAUUGUAUCCUCGAACUGAUCAAAGUGUCUUUAGAAAUUUUCUAUUUACUUCUUUACUUUACAUCUGAAUUCUUUGAAUCUUUCAAAAAUUUUAGAUUUAUAUAUCAUAUACUUACCCAUACCAUGACUAAUCAUCAGUAAAGGUAAUGAAGUAGAGACAACCUCCUUUGUUAGCAUAUCAAAUGAGCUAUACACAUCAAAUGUGUACUAAGAUAAGUAUCUCAGUGGUCUUUUUCCUCUUGUCCCACAAGAGUAACUUAGUUAUUUUUUUUCAAAAAUAUGAUGCACAAACUAGAUGUGACUCAAUAAUCAAUGAGCCCAAAAGUCCAUAUUUCUCCAAUCUGUUAAUCAUUUCUUCUCUUAUAUGACUUAGCCUAAGAUUUCACAUAUACUUAAGAUUUAUCUCAACUCUGGAUCUUUCAGAUCUAAUGGCAUUCACUGCUUGCUCAAUUAAGUUCAUAGAUGCAUCACCAUGUAAAUAAUAGAGACUGUCUCUAAGAACUAAAUCCAAAUGAUAAUCACAAAGGACAGAUGCCCAUGGCCACAGCAGCAACUAUUGCCCUAUUGCUAAUUAUAAGGGUUACUUUCUUAGCCCUCUACCUUUCCAUAGACUCUAUGCUAAAGUACAUAAAAUUACUAGAGUCUAAAACUCAACUGGAAGAAGAGAAAAUCAUAAG
rnacentral:lncRNA from 1 species